rnacentral:rRNA from 1 species
AUUGAACGCUGGCGGCAUGCCUUACACAUGCAAGUCGAACGGCAGCGCGGGGCAACCUGGCGGCGAGUGGCGAACGGGUGAGUAACAUAUCGGAACAUACCCUAGAGUGGGGGAUAACGUAGCGAAAGUUACGCUAAUACCGCAUACGCACUAAGGUGGAAAGUGGGGGAUCUUCGGACCUCAUGCUCAUGGAGUGGCCGAUAUCUGAUUAGCUAGUUGGUGAGGUAAAGGCUCACCAAGGCGACGAUCAGUAGCUGGUUUGAGAGAACGACCAGCCACACUGGAACUGAGACACGGUCCAGACUCCUACGGGAGGCAGCAGUGGGGAAUUUUGGACAAUGGGGGCAACCCUGAUCCAGCAAUGCCGCGUGAGUGAAGAAGGCCUUCGGGUUGU